rnacentral:rRNA from 1 species
CUUAGUGGCGGACGGGUGAGUAACGCGUGGGUAACCUGCCUUAUACAGGGGGAUAACACUUAGAAAUAGGUGCUAAUACCGCAUAAGCGCACGGGGCUGGCAUGGCCCAGUGUGAAAAACUCCGGUGGUAUAAGAUGGACCCGCGUCUGAUUAGCUUGUUGGCGGGGUAACGGCCCACCAAGGCGACGAUCAGUAGCCGGCCUGGAGAGGGUGGACGGCCACAUUGGGACUGAGACACGGCCCAAACUCCUACGGAAGGCAGCAG